UGCGUAGGCGGACUAAUAAGUCAGUGGUGAAAUCUCUCGGCUCAACCGGGAAACUGCCAUUGAUACUGUUAGUCUUGAGUUCGGUUGAGGUAGGCGGAAUGUGUAAUGUAGCGGUGAAAUGCUUAGAUAUUACACAGAACACCAAUUGCGUAGGCAGCUUACUAGACCGACACUGACGCUGAGGUACGAAAGCGUGGGGAGCGAACAGGAUUAGAUACCCUGGUAGUCC
rnacentral:rRNA from 1 species